UCCAAAAAUUGUUUUGGAUUUUUAUUGUGACUUUAAUUUUAAUAAGUUUAUUUCGUUAAUUAACUCUUUUUUCAACAAUAUUAAUACAAAUCAAUGCUGUGUAUCUAGAAGUUAAAAUCACCGGCUAAAUGGAUGAGUAAAAUUUUAAUCAAAAAAAACAAAUUGCUGUUUUUUUACUUAAAAAAGCAAGGUGCAAGUUAGGAUAAGAUGCAAUUUUAUUACCAAGUAACAAAAUAAUUCAUUUACACUUUACGGAGUAUAAAUUAACCAGCAUGGUUUUUUAAUCUUAAUAAUAAGCCCUUUGUUAACAGGUUUAAUGUUAUUACAUGUAAGAUGAAAAGUGAAAGGAGCCAACGAAAAAAAACAAAACUGGUUACUUUGGGUAAAGCGAAACUAAAAAAGCUGAUGAAAACCUAGAAGACCAACCCAUGUUAAAGACUAGCCAGGCUUUUGAUUAGCUUGGAAUUACUGGUUCAAUGUACCUUUUAGAUGAAGCAGCGAUGGAGAAUCAAACAAAAGUGGAAAUCAAAUUGUAUUGAACAAGCAAGAUAACAAGAACCAAACCCAUUUCUUGCUUUCACUUGUGGUUGAUAAUUGAUGGACAAUCAAUGUUACGUUCAAAUCAAUCCACCUUGGCAAUGGAACCAUUGAUUGGCAUAAGCAACAAUGACUCAAAUUAUCAUUUAAAUCAGUCUCUUUACUUUUAAUCACGACAUUCCAGUCUGAUGAUUUAAUAGCUGGAUUACGCCGGAACAUGUGAAACUUUCAUUGCUUUCAUUUGGAUUGAGAAAUUUUCUGAAGCCAUUAAACGUGGACUUGUGUGGGCAUUCAUUAGUCACUGCCACAGCCAGUAUAAAUGUACAAUUAAUGGAGCUUUAAUAAGGAUUACACUUCUGAUUAUCACAUUUAUCCCGGUAUCAUCUCGACAUCAGAUUAUGGUAUAACACCAUUGAGUCAAAUUGCCAAUUCCAUUGGAAGCUAUCUUAUCGAGGAAAGAUUUAAGUGAUUUUUGAUGGGAUAAUGUGGACAAGCUUUUCACUCAGCCAGGUUCAUAGGAUUUUUGGCGUUGUUGAUUCAGCAAACAUGGAAUGAUGAUGAUAAUAAUCAAAAUUCCUGUGAAUCUAUAGUCAAGGCCAGACUGAAUGUACAUUUGAAUUUUUAAAAUAUAAAUCAACAAAAAGUCGAGUCAACAAGAAGUAUAAUAUAACGUACAUUUUAACACACACACAGAAAGCAAAGUAAACCCAAAGCUAAAUAUGUUUCACUGUUUCAACAUAUUGAUACAAAGCUAGGAUACCAAACCUAACAAACCAUAGUUAAUCCUGGGGUUAAAUGUUUCCAAAAUAAUCAGACGGAAUGACCUGGAAUCGCGUGAAGCCGUUAGAUGUAUUAGUUUAUUACAAUAAUUUAAAUUGGUUUAAUGUCAAAUCAGGAAUUAGCUGUUAGCUUGAUAAAUGGUCUUGACUUUUGAAAAGGUUUACUUUCCUCUCUUUCCAGCUCUUCUUCAUCUUGAUCUUCUUCUUCUUCUUCUGGCUCUUCCUUCUUUCAAUGACCUGACUUUCCAAAGGUCGUAGGUUAUUUCUGGGCCAUGUUUACAGUUUGGGAAGACAAAAAUUUGGCUAAAAAUUUUACAUUGGAGAAAGAAAAACAACUCUAAAAAAA